rnacentral:rRNA from 1 species
UGACUGUCUCUUCGGAGCAUCCGAGACAGGUGGUGCAUGGUUGUCGUCAGCUCGUGUCGUGAGAUGUUGGGUUAAGUCCCGCAACGAGCGCAACCCUUACCUUCAGUAGCCAGCGAGUAGCGUCGGGCACUCUGGAGGGACUGCCAGGGAUAACCUGGAGGAAGGGGGGGAUGACGUCAAAUCAUCAUGCCCCUUAUGAUUUGGGCUACACACGUGCUACAAUGGCGUAAACAAAGGGAAGCGAGACGGUGAUGUUAAGCAAAUCUCAAAAAUAACGUCUCAGUUCGGAUUGUAGUCUGCAACUCGACUACAUGAAGCUGGAAUCGCUAGUAAUCGCGAAUCAGAAUGUCGCGGUGAAUACGUUCCCGGGUCUUGGACACACCGAAA